rnacentral:rRNA from 1 species
CGGGGUGAGUAACGCGUGGGUAACCUGCCUUACACAGGGGGAUAACACCUGGAAAUAGGUGCUAAUACCGCAUAAGCGCACAGAGCCGCAUGGCUCAGUGUGAAAAACUCCGGUGGUGUAAGAUGGAUCCGCGUCUGAUUAGCUGGUUGGCGGGGUAGAAGCCCACCAAGGCGACGAUCAGUAGCCGGCCUGAGAGGGUGAACGGCCACAUUGGGACUGAGACACGGCCCAGACUCCUACGGAAGGCAGCAG